rnacentral:ribozyme from 1 species
AGAUGCUCAUCCUAUUUCUUAUGACAGCAUAUGCUUCAUAAACCCAGGGAUGAUGCAGAGCCGAUUAUCGGUGCCUAUUGUCCAUGUCACAGAUGAGUAAGAUAUAGCCAUCUUUUCAUCGCCGAUCGGACUUAACGUUGAGUGAGGCACUAUCCG